UACGUAGGGUGCAAGCGUUGCCCGGAUUUAUUGGGCGUAAAGAGCGUGUAGGCGGCCAGGCAGGUCCGUUGUGAAAACUCGAGGCUCAACCUCGAGACGUCGAUGGAAACCGUCUGGCUAGAGUCCGGAAGAGGAGAGUGGAAUUCCUGGUGUAGCGGUGAAAUGCGCAGAUAUCAGGAAGAACACCUAUGGCGAAGGCAGCUCUCUGGGACGGUACUGACGCUGAGACGCGAAAGCGUGGGGAGCAAACAGG
rnacentral:rRNA from 1 species